rnacentral:lncRNA from 1 species
UUUACUCCCACAUAUUUUCUUCCAUUUUUUUUCUCUCUCUAAAACCCACAAACUUCAUUGUUGCUAGACAGUUUGCUCUAUUUAGAUGCUAAUUUUUUAUGCCUUUUACUUUUCUAUUUUAUUAUUGUUCUUUGAUGCUAGCUACUAUAUUCAUGUUGCAUUUCUUUUGUUAUUACUUUACUUGUGAAGUGACUUAGCACAAUCUUAUGAUUUUUCUUGGGUGAGCUGCUACUAUUUUGCGGGACUGCUUAGGACGACUUUGUCCUUUAUAUUUAAUUGAAACAUGAUUCUACACUAAACAUGACCAAUGAAACUAUCUCUCCAUCUGGAUAUUUGAGGCCACCUCGUUAUAAAAGACUGACUUUAUUUUAUCAAAGUUAUUAUUUUAUAUUAAAAAGGGUCGACACUUGGUCAAUGAAGAAAUUUUUCAUCAAUUUUCGAGGCCUGCACAAAUAAAAGACGGAUAUUACAUAUAUAAAUACGUAAUAAAAUAAAUAUUUUGGGCGAUGAAGAAAUUUUUAUAACAAUGCAAGAGGUUUUACGAUUUGUAUCUUGGAAAGACGAUUUAGGAUGGUCAAUAAAUUGAGCAAUAACUUCGUAGCCAUGACAUAUUUAAAAUCUAAUCCGAGCCCUCUUUUAACGAAAAAUUAUAUUUUUUAUACAUAUAUGCAUAUAUAUCUUUUCAAUUUAUUUUGAUAAUUAUUCAUUUGUUACUAACAUUUUAUUUACAAGUGUUUAUACAGGUUAUUGGGAAUUUUUACCGAAAAUAGCAUUCAAAGAAGACUUUAAUUUUUAUGUUUGUAUUUUUAUACUUUUACACUUGUACGAAUAUUAAAUUAUAGCGAAAUCUUUAUUUUUGGGGUGUUGGAAGGGAUAUUGUUUAUUUACGCAAUUUUCAUCACGCGUUAGGCAAAUUUAGGCCGUUACUAUUUAUGUAAAAGAAUUAAAUUGAUUUAGAUAUUUAAUAGAAUAAUUCAUAUUUUUACACUAAAAACAUUACGUAAUCUUUUCCUUUGAACAAAUUUUUCUUUAUUUAAUCUUUUCAUUUUUCAUACAUAUUCUCAUGUAUUUUUAUUUAUUUUUAUACACAUAUUUUUACGAUAACAUAUACAAUUUACACAUUCUUUACAUAUAAAUUGUGUAUAUUGUUUUAAUACGCAUUUUUGUAUUUGUACUUACAAACAUUGAUUUUUCUUUUUUCUUUUAAUAAACCUAAGUCUGGUCGGGAACCACAUUUGUGGAUUCUGA